GUCUACAGGCAGAGACAAGCGUCAUCAAACUUUCAAUGUUUGUGGGCGAGACCAUGGACAUAAUAAAGGAUGGACCACAGACUGGAAAAUGGCCGCCCAUUCAUUCCUAUACAAACUGCUCAGUGGCGCAGGUUAACCAUGACCUCAGCUGAGGGGCGCCCCGCCCAAUCAGCAACCCGCAUCAGCAUCAGCUCGAGGAAAACCUUCCACGUGUGUCAGCCAUUAUCUCUGCAUUCGAUGUUAAGGUAGGAUGUGGCGAUUAGCCUUGAAAACGAGAGCUGGUAAAUCGUGGAAAAUGCAUUAAAAUGUCAGGGGACGACUCGGUUAUAUGCUAUAGACCCUAGUGUGUAUGUGGUAUAAAGGCUGGGACGAAUUUCGAAUUAUAAAUAUGUUAAAAUUAAUGUUGAAAUUACGGAGAGUCGCGAUUCCCAUUGAAACGGAUUGCGAGGCAGUUAGCCUUGAAAACGAGUACUGGUAAAUCGUGAAAAAUGCGUUAAAAUGUUAGAGGACGACUCGGUUAUAUGCUGUAUAGACCAUAGUGUGUAUGUGGUAUAAAGGCUGGGACGAAUUUCGAAUUAUAAAUAUGUUAAAAAUUAAUGUUGAAAUUACGGAGAGUCGCGAUUCCCAUUGAAACGGAUUGCGCGGCGAUUAGCAUUCCAACCUGUCAAACCAUCUGUUAUCUUUCCUGUAAGCAUCCAUGAACAUAAAAGUCACUUUAAGGGAGUAAACUGCAAUGCUUGUUUAAUGCAAUGCUCGUUUAAUGCUGUGUCGUGUCAUUUGUUGUCAUUGUAGAUGUCUUUUGCAAAUUUGCGACUGACGCCGUCGCAUCAGUUGGUCCUGCAGGCCUCUGAUGCGGCGGCGGCCUUCACCGCCGCCAGGGCCCAGAAGCCGGAGGAGGUGGAGAAGGAGGCCCGAGCCCGCGUCGUCUCCGGGGGCGGUGACCCCGGGAACCCCAUGCUGGUGCUGGGCUGCCACAGCAUCCAGCUUGGGAAGUACUGGGGUCAGACCUUCAGAUGGCUCCUGGAGAACGACGCGGGCUACGCCUGCCACGUGGUCGCCAGUCACCAGCGGGAGAGGGAGACGAGUGCCUCGGACAGCCCGCUCAUGGCCAACAAGGACAGCCUCGCCCGCUACUCCUGCGCCCACCCCGCUUUUGCAGAGCACCUCAAGUUCCGCCGGGCGCAGGAGGAGGCCCGGGCUCGCGCCACUCUGCCCGGGCGGGGGGGCGAGGCGCUUGUUGGCAUCGGGCUGUUCAAGGAGGACACCCUGAAGGACCUGUACGACUCCAAGGAGAAGGAGCGUCAGAACUACGUCAAGUGGCUACGGCGGAAGACCCCGCAGCCUGGGAGCUCCAUGGACGUCGCCAUAAAGUACAUUCUGGGCCGAGACAAGGAGCGGUCGGCGGAGGCGGCUGCUACACCCUCUCCGCCCGCCAGCAGCAGCACCAGCAGCGGCCUCAGCACCACCACCAGCAAGGCCGCUGCUUCCACCGUGCUGCCGCCCCGCAAGCCGACCGCUCCCAAUUUCUCGGCCCUUGUGCGCGGGCGUCCGAUGGGCCCAGGGGAGCUGCAGGCCCGGAUCAGGAGACUGAUGAACCCACCAGCACGGCCUGCAGCUCCAGCGGUGUCUUCCGUCAGAGACCAGCGCCCCUCGGUUCCGCCGCCCCCCACCACAGAGGUGACGGACGAGGAGCUGGUCCAUUUGGUCACUGACGGAGAAAUGGCUGAUGCUUGAAGGACAAAGGUAGGUUUAUCAGGUGAUGUAGCCGUCUUUGUUGGUGGUAGACGUGCCGUCCUCACUCACGUGGUGACCCGGUUGGCUGAGGGCUGGCGGACAGCCCUCACCGGGGAAGAGCAGGAGCUGAACAGUAGGACCCUCUCGCUGUGGUUCACCCGGACGCAGCGAGAGAAGGAGAGGGCUGUGUUGACUUCAGGCGUUGCAGCAGACGGAGGACGACCACCGGCGGCGGCCGCGGCGACAGCGCCGGGCCCGGCCUCAGCGGCGGCGGUGGAUCGUCCGGCGGCAGCAGCGACGUCGGCGGUGCCUCAAGGCCGGGCGACGCCAGCGGCAGCGAGGGGGGCGGCGGCCCGGCAGCGGCCCCGGCUGUGGCAGCACCGGGGCCCGCUCUGCCGGCGCCCAGACGGCUACUGGCGCCUCGACAGCCCGCCCCCUCGGCUGCUUACCCGGCCUUCCUGCCGACGGCUGCUGCCGCAGCUGCAACUGGACCUUUAAGAGCAGCACAGCCUCUCCUUGUGGACCUCUUACUGCCCCGGCAGAGUGUGUGGGUGCUCCCCGUCCCCGUCCUGACGCUCCCUCGGACACUGCCGGCUCCACACGUCCUCCCUCCGCCGCUGGCCGCCGCACAGCACGCCGGCCCUGAGCUGCCUGUAGCCCUGCCCGCCGCGCAGCACGCCGGCCCUGAGCUGCCGGUAGCCCUCAAAACGGUAGAAUGGAGGAGGCUGAACGCCAAGCGGCGGGCGGAGGCACAGCCGGGCACAACCUACUCCUCCCGGGCCGGCGUGCCACAGGUGCAUAAGUGCAGUAAAUGCGGCCAGCCGAGGCGGAGGGAGACCGGACACUCCCGCCACGGCGGAGAAUACUUCUGCUCCGUCGCGGCGGGUCAGAGUGUGGAGGACUGGCUGAGGGAGAAGAAGGAGCGGGACCAGGGUGGAGCCCCGCACUGAUGCACACUCUUGCCGGGGAUGGUGUUGUACAUAGUUCUCUUUUGUAUAUAGUUGUUUUUCUGUUGUGUGUGUAUAUAGUUAUUUUGCAGUGUUAGUGUAUAUAGUUGUUUGCUGUAUAUAGUUUUCAUUUUGCAGGGUUAGUGUGUAUAGUUCUUUGUUUUGUUGGAUAGCUUCUAAGUUAGUGCACACACUGCCAUAUAUAUAUAUAUAUAUAUAUAUAUAUAUAUUAUUUAUGAAUGAAUAAAAAAAUAAGUAUUCUCUUUCUA
ensembl:lncRNA